rnacentral:rRNA from 13 species
CGCAUCCUGGAGCUGGAUUCGGUUCCAAGGGUUGGGCUGUUCGCCCAUUAAAGCGGUACGCGAGCUGGGUUCAGAACGUCGUGAGACAGUUCGGUCCCUAUCCGUCGUGGGCGUAGGAAAUUUGAGAGGAGCUGUCCUUAGUACGAGAGGACCGGGAUGGACGUACCUCUGGUGGACCUGUUGUGGCGCCAGCCGCAUUGCAGGGUAGCUAUGUACGGACGGGAUAACCGCUGAAAGCAUCUAAGCGGGAAACCCACCUCAAAACCAGUUCUCCCUGAAGAGCCGUGGAAGACCACCACGUCGAUAGGAAGCGUGUGGAAGUGCAGCAAUGCAUGAAGCUUAGCUUUA